AUCACCUGCCUCUCUUCUGUCCACCUCCCUCAAAGAGGACAAAGAUCAAACUGUGAGGGAAAGAACUGAAAAGGCUUUUGCAUCCUUCACCUGACUGUUCAUGCCUGACUAACUCUUGACACCAUUUCAGCAAAAAGGAAAACCAAUGCUAGCUACAAGUCCUGAAAGGAGAAGAGACGGAGAAGGUACCAGCCAGCUCCAAAAACAGACCCCUUUCCAUGUCAUUUAUACCAGAUGUGCAAUUUUCAAAGCAUGACAUGGAACUUAUGAGAACUACUCAAAAUUUACUAUUCAAGGAAACCAGUGCUAUACACAAAAGAAAAAGGAGAAAGGAAAAAGAAUCCAAAUGCCAGAGUAAAUACGUUAUGGUUCAAAAUGUGAUGUGUUUCAGACAAGAUUCUUUGUCAAGGAUACUGUACAUACUGGUUGUUGCGAUGGUAAAUUGCUGGAGGAUGAAUACUUAUAUGCUGUCUUAGUUCUCUAUGGGAAGGACAGGAUAUGAAUGAAUGAACAGGACAGAUCCAACAAUCACUUUUGAAGAAGUUCUCUUUACCUAUUGCCUCCAGUACUUAUCAGGCAUAGAACUGGUAUUCCACAACACAAUUCUGUGAUAAAUGUUAAUUAUCCCAUAUACUCCAAGAUGCUUAUGGACUGAUUGUGGCACUACUCCCAAGGGCAGAAUGUAACUAAAGGAGCUAUAAUUUGGACAGACUACUGGGACCUUGCUUUCCUCAAAGAAGAUCUGAAAUAAAACUGUUAUCUGACCAAAUAUAUUUUAGAAUAUUAAUUGUUUAAACUUUGGUAACCAGUUAAAUUUGAAUUAAUUUUCAGAUGAAUGAUGCACGUGUUCUAAACUUUCC